GAGGAGUCAGCUCAGGAGUGGCAGAGCUGAGCUUCUAACGCAGAGCUGACCUUCUUGUCACCUUGAGGAAACCACUGGCUCCCCCAUCGACCCCGAGAAGGGGCGGCAGGACACACCUCAUGCCCCCCAGAGCCCACGGUCGGGCUUCCCAUCGCCACCGUUUUUGCGUACCCGGUGGGGACUCGUCCUCGAAAGCCAUGCCGAAAUGAACUGGUGAAGUUGACCUCAUCUUUCCUGUGGGGAAAAUAUACUUAAAAAACUAAAAUCCAAGGCAUGGAAGAUAAUAACAUGAAGCUCACUACAGAUCGCAGAAGCUAUUCUGAAGCUAUUCUGCUUGUUAUUUAAAAUCUAAUCCUGUUUCAGUUAGUUCUGCCCCAGUAUAGACUCUGAAGCAAGAUACUCUUCAACGUCAGUUGAGCACACGCUGAGUCCCAGAAUUAGGGGUAAGACAUUUGUAUACAUUACCUUCUAUUAUUUGUUUAUUUGUUUAACGAAUACUCGUGCAGUACUUGCCAUGUACCAAGCAAUAUUCUAGGUGCUUCGAAGAGCAUUAUCUCGUCUAACAUUCGCAACAGUACCAAGAGGGAGGUGCGUGACAGUCCUCAGUUUUCAGAUGAAGAACUGAGGCUCAGCCGUGCAGUAACUCCUGCUGAGCUCCCACAGCCAGCGUUUGCAGCCACACCUCUGCCUCCACAGUCCCUAAGCCCCCCCGCACAAGGGCGCUCAGGGCUCCCUCCGAGGCUGCCUUCUUCCUACGGGCUACUCUUAGUCUUCUCACAGCCGUUACACGGUGGGACUCAAACCCCGGUCUGUCUGCAUGGGGGUCCACGCUCUAACCAUCGUGCAUUUCCAAGCCAUGGCUCAGGGAGGGAAAUGGGCAUCAAAGAGUUAAAGGACUUUGGUCAGAUCAUGCCUUGGGCGUCUUAGGAAAUCCUCAGCGUGCUCACCACCCCAUCCAUUAAUGGGAGGACACGCACUGGUGGAGUCCAAAAAGGAACAGAGAUUCCCCUGACGUGGCUUGCUUAUUUUUCAUCCUUCAAAGGACAGCUGUGGUGCAGAUACCAACCAGUAUCAGAUAAAAGUGCAGGAGCUGCAUCUAAUCAGCCAUCUCUACCCAUGUGGCUGCUUAAUAGCCACCUGCCCUACGAGUCCAUCAUUACAAGCAAGUCUGCUGCUCAGCACCGACCCCGCCCUUGGUCGUUAGUUCCAAGAGUCACAUGAUGACCAGCGAGUCCAUCUGCACAGCCCCGUGGAUCUUGGUCUGGGACAUCCCUUCCUCCUGAUGAUGGAGAGGCAGGACCGCGGAGGCUCGGUGACCUGCCUCCACUCAACAUGAUCAUCAGCAGGGAGACCUGAAUUCCACUCAGUCUUGCAAUGCACCCUUCUCCCAACAUGGCGAUGGCACUCCUUUUUUUCCUAAAUCAACGUUAUUGAUACAUAAUCUCCAAACAAUAAAG
rnacentral:lncRNA from 1 species